CAUACAGACGUUUUUUCCUGCAGACGCCAAAGCCUGCUGACACCUGAUUAGUCAAUACUACAAACAGAAACUAGAACAUUUCUCAGACUGUCGUGUGUGGUAGGGGGCGUGGCUGGCAUCCUGAGGCACACCUGUUUCCACUCAGCUCAAUAAUCUCAGUCUAAAGGUCUGGACACUGCUCCUCUGCCAGAUAAAUCUGUCUUGUUAAGUAGUGCUCUGUAAACUACUAGCGUUUAAAGCUGCCAGUUUCUGCA